GACGAACGCUGGCGGCGUGCCUAAUACAUGCAAGUCGAGCGGAGUUUUCGCGGGCGGAAGCCUUCGGGUGGAAGACGCGGAAACUUAGCGGCGGACGGGUGAGUAACACGUGGGCAACCUGCCCGAAAGACCGGGAUAACAUCCGGAAACGGAUGCUAAUACCGGAUAAGCGGAUCUCUCGCAUGAGGGGUUCGGGAAAGACGGGGCAACCUGUCACUUUCGGAUGGGCCCGCGGCGCAUUAGCUGGUUGGCGGGGUAACGGCCCACCAAGGCGACGAUGCGUAGCCGACCUGAGAGGGUGAACGGCCACACUGGGACUGAGACACGGCCCAGACUCCUACGGGAGGCAGCAGUAGGGAAUCUUCCGCAAUGGACGAAAGUCUGACGGAGCAACGCCGCGUGAGUGAGGAAGGUCUUCGGAUCGUAAAGCUCUGUUGCCAGGGAAGA
rnacentral:rRNA from 1 species